CCUCCUUUCUAAGGAUUGUCACGAAAGCGCCUGGCCUUGAGCCGGGAAGAGCUUCGCGACUUUUCAUGGAACAUUGCCGUCGUCCUCAUGUCCUUUCAUCACUGGAGAUUGCCUCAAGGCCUUAGUCUUGCGGCAUGACGCCUGAGUCGGCUCACGCCCCUCGCGGCUUUACUGCCGUCGACGGUGGUGUAGGUCCGUAGCUCAGUUGGUUAGAGCGCACCCCUGAUAAGGGUGAGGUCGGUGGUUCAAAUCCACUCGGACCUACCAAGUUUUGGAAUUGGUGCGGGGCCUUAGCUCAGCUGGGAGAGCACCUGCUUUGCAAGCAGGGGGUCAUCGGUUCGAUCCCGAUAGGCUCCACCAGCCAACCUCCAGAGAUGAAACGAAAAGCUAUCCGGCUUCGGUCGGUAGCGAGGCGAUUUGCGCCUUGCGAUCUUUGACAUUGUGAAUGGGUUUUAAAUCGAUGCCGUGGCGCA
rnacentral:misc_RNA from 1 species